GACGAACGCUGGCGGCGUGCCUAACACAUGCAAGUCGAGCGGAGGUACUUGAGGAGUAAUCUGAGGGUACUUUAGCGGCGGACGGGUGAGUAACGCGUGAGCAACCUGCCUUUCACAGGGGGAUAAGGCGGCGAAAGCCGCUCUAAUACCGCAUGAGACUACGGUAUGAUGUACCAGGGGUCAAAGGAGCAAUCCGGUGAAAGAUGGGCUCGCGUCCGAUUAGGUAGUUGGUGGGGUAAAGGCUCACCAAGCCAAUGAUCGGUAGCCGGCCUGAGAGGGUGAACGGCCACAUUGGAACUGAGAGACGGUCCAAACUUCUACGGGAGGCAGCAGUGGGGAAUAUUGGGCAAUGGGGGAAACCCUGACCCAGCAACGCCGCGUGAGGGAAGAAGGUUUUCGGAUUGUAAACCUCUGUUCUUGGGGAAGAGAAGAAGACGGUACCCAAGGAGGAAGCCCCGGCUAACUACGUGCCAGCCGCCGCGGUAAGAC
rnacentral:rRNA from 1 species